GACGAACGCUGGCGGCGUGCUUAACACAUGCAAGUCGAACGGAAAGGCCCUGCUUUUGUUGGGUGCUCGAGUGGCGAACGGGUGAGUAACACGUGAGUAACCUGCCCUUGACUUUGGGAUAACUUCAGGAAACUGGGGCUAAUACCCGAUAGGAGCUCCUGCUGCAUGGUGUGGGUUGGAGAGUUUCGGCGGUUGUGGAUGGUCUCGCGGCUUAUCCGCUUGUUGGUGGGGUAGUGGCUUACCAAGGCUUUGACGGGUAGCCGGCCUGAGAGGGUGACCGGCCACAAUGGGACUGAGAUACGGCCCAGACUCCUACGGGAGGCAGCAGUGGGGAAUAUUGCACAAUGGGCGGAAGCCUGAUGCAGCAACGCCGCGUGCGGGAUGACGGCCUUCGGGUUGUAAACCGCUUUCGCCUGUGACGAAGCGUGAGUGACGGUAAUGGGUAAAGAAGCACCGGCUAACUACGUG
rnacentral:rRNA from 1 species